rnacentral:rRNA from 1 species
AGAGUUUGAUCAUGGCUCAGAACGAACGCUGGCGGCAUGCCUAACACAUGCAAGUCGAACGUGAUCCAGGCUUCGGCCUGGUGAAAGUGGCAGACGGGUGAGUAACGCGUGGGAACCUGCCCUGUGGUAGGGAAUAACCGUGGGAAACUGCGGCUAAUACCCUAUGAGUCCUUCGGGAGAAAGAUUUAUCGCCAUAGGAGGGGCCCGCGUCGGAUUAGGUAGUUGGUGGGGUAACGGCCUACCAAGCCUUCGAUCCGUAGCUGGUCUGAGAGGAUGAUCAGCCACACUGGGACUGAGAUACGGCCCAGACUCCUACGGGAGGCAGCAGUGGGGAAUAUUGGACAAUGGGGGCAACCCUGAUCCAGCAAUGCCGCGUGGAUGAUGAAGGCCUUCGGGUUGUAAAGUCCUUUCGGCGGGGAAGAUGAUGACGGUACCCGCAGAAGAAGCCCCGGCUAACUUCGUGCCAGCAGCCGCGGUAAUACGAAGGGGGCCAGCGUUGUUCGGAAUUACUGGGCGUAAAGGGCGCGUAGGCUGUGCUGUAAGUCAGGCGUGAAAGCCCCGGGCUCAACCUGGGAAUUGCGCUUGAUACUGCGGCGCUGGAAGGUGGGAGAGGAUGGCGGAAUUCCCAGUGUAGAGGUGAAAUUCGUAGAUAUUGGGAAGAACACCGGUGGCGAAGGCGGCCAUCUGGCCCACAAUUGACGCUGAGGCGCGAAAGCGUGGGGAGCAAACAGGAUUAGAUACCCUAGUAGUCC